rnacentral:rRNA from 1 species
ACUUGUUGUAUUUGUGGCAAUGGAGAGGAGGAUGAGCACCAUGUUGUGAUUGCUUGCACGAAGAGCAGAGCUCUGAGGGCAGCGAUGAGAGAAAAAUGGGGUUUACCGUCAGAGAAUAGGUUUUGGUAUACCGGGAAUGACUGGAUGCAGGUGUUGUUAAGCACUGAGAACGAGGACAUGCGAGCAAAACUCCUCCUUCUGAUAUGGCGAUGCUAACAUCUACGUGAGGAUUGUGUGCAUAGCAAUGGCAAAGAGGCG